rnacentral:misc_RNA from 1 species
AUUUAUGAGAGGUCCGAGCUGCCUUUUAGGGUUGAGAUAGGUCCAAUCCAUUUUCUCUACAUGGUAUCGCAGCCUACCCUUGCCUUGAUGUUGAGCCACUCGCAGAUAUUCAUUCCUGCAAAUUUUACGCCCUAAAAGUUCAUGUGUAGACAUAAGAAGGCGUGUUGUUCCACUUUGAUUUGGGAUAAGGUAAGAGUUCUAAACAUAGAUACUUAGACAAUUCUCCCCAUUAGGCUAGCUUUUGGGGUGAGUUAGGCUCGACCCAUUUUCUUAAUAUGGGAUAAGAGUCUCCUCAAUCGAUAUUGGGUUUUCUAUAAGUGUUUCACGCUCUAGGUGUUCGUUUCUCAGCGCGAGGGGGUUUGUUAAUAUCCCACAUCAGUUUGAGAUAGGGGUAAUGUACCUCUUACAAAAACUUAGGCAAUCCUUGCCCCUUGAAUUAGAUUUUGGGGUUGAGUUAGGUGCAACCUAUUUUCUCUGUAAAAGGUUUGAAAACUUUAUAUUUUAGGAAAUGAAAAAUUUACUCGAAUGAGGUAAUACAUUGUUUCAUGGGUAAAUUAAAUGCUGGCAAUGCUUGCUUUGCUUGUUGAUUUUGUUAUUGCUAAAUAUUUAUAUUCCUAGAGAGUUUUGUUUUGUGGUUUUUCCCCUUUUUAUUCCUAAUUGGAACUAAAUAUUAGUCCAUUUCUCCUUAAUGAUACUGAUUCAAGCUUUUACUACUUUAGUUGAUGACAUAUUUUUCCGGGAAUUUACUUGAGUUGAUGAUGUUGUAAAAUUACUCUAGAGAUAAUCUUUGGGGAGUGUCUGUCCAUUUAACUAAUUGAAUAUCCUUCUUGAUUCAAUGGAAUUUUGUUUCAAAUUUCUCAUAUUUUAAUUUGGAAAUAUAUGUAUGAGUUGUAUCAUGCUGGUACAAGGAUUUGAGCUUACCUGAUGGUUUUCUGUACUUGUCAUGUUUUUGUUCUUGCCUUGUUCUCUUUUCUGAUCAUGUAUCCAUUUCUUUUUAAAAUUUGGGCUACAUAUCCUUUUUAUGAUCUUUUGGAGUAUAGUUGAGAUGAGACAAGGGUUAGCAAGAAUCAUUGGUUCAGACUACUUUCUCUGCAGAUGGGAUGAAAAGUUUAUUAAUGAUUUAAGCCUUUGAAUUCUAUGUAGUAGAAAGCUGCAUUUGCAACUAGGUCAGGGCCACCAGGCUGUAUUCUUCUUAAAGUUGGACCUUUGAAUUAUACAUUAAGCAAAAAAAUGAGUUGUAGUACAAUAGUCAUAAAGUGACUGAUGAUAUGAUCCAAUGAUUGAGGUGUUUAAUUCAUAGGAUUAUAUUGAGAUACGAAAGGAUGACUUGAGCAUUUUUAUGAAGCAUUUUUAUGAAACAUGUACUCCAUAUAUAUCAUACCAGAUAGAUAUCAUACUUGUUGGAUAUUUGUGGCCAUCGUUAGACAUAGUUUUUAUAAUAUGUUCCAUUUUCUGUUACUGCUCCAUAAGGGGAACAGUUUAAGAAUUUGAGGAUCUUAUAGA